rnacentral:Y_RNA from 1 species
CACUGAACCACAGGUAGUGUGUUACCUCAACCGAUUGUUCAGUCAGCUACAGAUUGAACUCCUUGUUUUACUCUUUUCCCCGUUCUCAUGACUGCACUUGACUAGUUUUG